GAUGAACGCUGGCGGCGUGCCUAAUACAUGCAAGUCGAACGGUCUUUUCUAUGGAAGCUUGCUUCCACUGAGAAGAUAGUGGCGAACGGGUGAGUAACACGUGGGUAACCUGCCCAUAAGAGAGGGAUAACAUCCGGAAACGGGUGCUAAUACCGCAUAGGUUUCUUGGUCGCAUGAUCGAGAAAGGAAAGACGGCCUUUGUGCUGUCGCUUAUGGAUGGACCCGCGGCGUAUUAGUUAGUUGGUGAGGUAACGGCUCACCAAGACGAUGAUACGUAGCCGACCUGAGAGGGUGAUCGGCCACAUUGGGACUGAGACACGGCCCAAACGCCUACGGGAGGCAGCAGUAGGGAAUCUUCCGCAGUGGACGAAAGUCUGACGGAGCAACGCCGCGUGAGUGAAGAAGGUUUUCGGAUCGUAAAACUCUGUUGUCAGAGAAGAACAAGUCGGAGAGUAACUGCUCCGGCCUUGACGGUAUCUGACCAGAAAGCCACGGCUAACUACGUGCCAGCCGCCGCUGUAA
rnacentral:rRNA from 1 species